UGUGCGUGCGAGCACAAGACAUCUUCAAAUUUAUGAUCGUUAAUUUGGAAAUGGACAUAGCAGCAGUAAGGUUCUCAAGGGUAGACCAAAAUAUAGGACACAUACAGUCCAACUUAGUUUUAAUAGAGGUUAUGUUUAGGGGACAAAGUGCUAGGUGAUGUUCAGAUUGAAAUCUUCUGAGCCAGUUAGGACACAAAAAGGGGGUGAUAAGAUAGCUCGUGGGUAAAGGAGCUUGCUGCCACGCCUGAUGAUCUGGGCUCGAUCUCCGAGGCCCCAUAUGGUAGAAAGAGAGAACUAACCUCUUCAAAUUGUUCUGAUCUCCACAUUCAUUUCAUGCAUCGUAUGUACAUACACAUGCACGCGCGUGUACACACACACACACACACACACACACACUAAAAGGUAGAGUGAGAAAUGAUUAAGGUAGCAGACAUCAAUAGUCACUUGGGACGAAUAAAUCUGGUAUUACAGUGUGGAGCAGUCAAACCAGGCCAGGCCAACUCUGGUCAACCAACUGCCCAGGAAGACGCCUACUCCCACGAGUCGGUCUAAGAGCCUGGUAUGCUUGGCCCCUAGGAGUUAGAGCAAGGGACAUGGGGAGGCACUCUAAGUGGGCAGUGAGGCCCCUCAAGUUGCUUCAGUAUUGGAAGGGUGUGUGAGAACAUUAAUUGUCAACUCAACGGUAUCUGGCAUCAUCUGGAAGAGGGGCCUCUGGGCAUGCGUGGGGGGCGUGGUUAUCUCGUGGGUGGGGCCACCUCCUGACUGGGCUCCUGGUUUGUGUAAGUGGAGAGGGGGUGCAUGGCCCCGUGGGGAGCAGCUAGCACAGAAAUGGUUUACAUUGAGUUUUCUCUAUAUCUUAAAGAAUUGGGGAUCCCUGCGAGUUCCUACCAUUUGCUGUCAGAUUUCCAUCUUCUCCUCGCUCCAUAUGAAGACUGUCUUAAAGACUGUGGAAAGGUUACUGCUGCCCACUCCACAUGCUGAGGUGGGAAGAGAAGAACGCGAAGCAGCAGCAGGCCUCGUUCACCAGUCUUCUGUGUGCUCAACUCUCUCCUGAGCAACCCUGGUAGCUGGCAGAUAAUCUCCCCGCCCCGCCUCUUCCAGCCCCUUCACAGGGGUGCCCAAGGUUCCCUGUCCAGCCUCCUUCUCUGGAUAUGGAACCCACCUGAGGGGCUGUAAAGCAAACUGUUCCCUAAUGACUGAUGGUUCUCAGGUGGAAAGUUAAAGCAACAGGAGAAUAAUGGGACGAGCUAUCCCAACUCUUUCUUUCGCUUUUUUUUUUUCCUUUCCUUUUGGGGAAAUAUUAUACAUAAAACAGAAGGAAGCAAGAUUUCGCCAGAAAACGUAUUUUCUCAGGCAAUCGCAGCAGCUGUCCUGUGGAGUGGUCAAGGCCUGGGCCGCUGAGCUAGAUAGAAAUUAAGUAGCUACAGUUGACAAUGAGGAAGAGACACCCCUCCCCAUCCCUUACCCCAGAGUUCCCUGGGAACCCUUCAAGGAUGUUCUGGGCUGGGGCACAGAUCCCUCGAUGGAGUGGGGAGCGUGAGCAAUAGGAGCUUCUCUCAGCAGGAAAUUCAAACUGGAAUGGAGGCCAAUGCCCAUCAUGUGAUUACUCUUAGGCAGGACUGGCCAUGAGGGCAAGGGCUCUCUGAGAAUACUGCCGAGCUCAGCCCUGUGGUUCCAGGAAAGAACUGGGUCUGGCCGACUACAGGUGGGAAGGAGCGCCCUAUGUUGCCAGCAGGUGUCUGACUUUGCUCCCAGACCCCGCACCAGCUUGACCUUCCACAGUUCUAGAUGGAGUCAACCAGUGUUGACCUGGAUAAGACACUGAAAAGCUAAAUGAGUGACUUCUGAGACCAUGAGAGCAUAUGGAGUUAGGAGAAUUACAUGCAUUUGGGAAGGAGGCACAGGAAGCAGUGGUUGGAACCUCAGCUGUUACCUGGGUCCACAGAGAUGACAGUUAAGAGUUCUUACCACUCUUGCAGAGGACCAGAACUGGGUUCCCAGUACCACAUCAAAUGAUUCGCAGAUGCUUGUAACUCUGGCUGUAGGGAAUCCGAUGUGAUCGUGUGGCUUUCACCAGUGCCCACACACGUGCACAUACAUAGACACAGACACGGGUUCUAAUGUUUGGACAACCACAGACAGUGGGUGUGUGAUGAGCUCCUGAGUACAGAAGGUGGUACCCUCAAGGAUAAUGGGGUAGUGGGUUGCUGAGGACAGACCAUGGAGAAAAGGGUGGGCCCCCCUGUGUAGUCACUCCCUCUCUGUCCCUCCUCCUUUGUCUCCUCCCCCAAUCCCCUUUCACUCUCCCUUUGCACAAUGGACUUCUGUGGCAAAGGCGAGUAGAUGUCAAAGUCAAACAGUAUGUGCUAAAGUGAGGCAUUAGAGCCAGAUGUGGUGGCACACACUAAGUACUCAGGAGGCAGAGGCAGGGGGAUUGCUGCAAGUUCCCGAACAACAUAGCAAAGCUUCAUCUCAAAAAACCUUUUAGUUAAAAGUCAAUGAAUGAAAAAAGCAUAUACUAUUAUAGGAGUCCCCCCCAUGGGGGAGGGGACAAAAUGAGUGGAUAACUUUAGGAAGAGGUGGGUACAAGUGGGUCCUGACAGGAUUCUAGACCUCAUCUGGGUGUAGAACAGAGAGAAUACAGCACGGACCCAGGGAAUUAGGAAGCAGAAUCGGGUCAUGCUUCAGGGAGCUCAGAUAGGGUCAGCCUUCUUCAGACUAAAUGAUAGAGUUUAUGGCCCAGUACGAUGGCUCAAAGUUGAUUGCCACCAAAUCUGAUGACCUGAGGACCUGAGUUCAAUCCCUGGAACCCAUGUGAUAGAAGACAAGAAGCAGCUCUCCAACCCCCAAUUAUCCUCUGACCCCCACAAGUGCACAUGCACAGAAAUAAAUAAAUGUAAUGGAAAAGUUUAGCCUAUAUGCGGCUAGAACUGAUCUUAGAGUUAAAAGUAGGAUCUAGAAAGUAGGGAAAUGCAUGUCAGAAGUGUUAAGGAGAUGACGCAAUUUUUAAGUUAAAAAAAUAGAGAAAAGGGGCGAGAACAAGGCCUUUUCUUGGUGGUACACAUUUUGGUCGUAUUUGCACACAGCAUUUUCCUCUUUUUUCU
rnacentral:sRNA from 1 species